GGCAGAGCGGUUUAAUGCACCGGUCUUGAAAACCGACGAGGGUGUGAGUCCUCCGUGAGUUCGAAUCUCACC
rnacentral:tRNA from 2 species